GUGCUGAAUAUAGAUGUAGGAGUCAUCUGGGAACCGGUGCCUGAAGUCCUACGUGUCAAAGAGAGAGCCACAGGAAAGUGUACAGAGUCAGCAAAGUUGAGAACUAAGAUAGGAAUGCCAAUAUUUAUGUGAUGAGCAAAGAAGGAAGAGACCAUAAGCGAGAUCAAGAAGACUCUGGUCAAAAAGGUAAAAAGUGGAAUUUCCCCGAGGCCACACGAUGUGCGAUACUGCAACUAACUGAAGGCAGAAGCAGGUAAGAUAAUCUGACUGUCUUCUAUUAAGUCUGAUAUUAUAGAUUUACAAAAAUGCAAAACAAUGCUAUUCUUCUCAUUAAACUUGCUUCGUUUUCAAAAAUAUAGUUAAUUAAAAUGUUACUUAUGUUAAUAUGUAAUCGUUUCUUACUGUUACUUUUUAGCACAUUAUUUUGUAAAGUUUUGUUUGAAUUUUUAACAGGACAAAUAUAACCUAUAUAAAGAAAAGCUCUUUGGAGUUCUCAAUAAAUUUUUAAGAGUAUAGAGGGGUCCUGAAAUUAAAAGUUUGAGAACUU